rfam:Candidate division TM6 bacterium GW2011_GWF2_43_87 TW09_C0004, whole genome shotgun sequence.
GAGCCGCUAGCUCAGGUGGUAGAGCAACAGCCUUUUAAGCUGUGGGUCGUAGGUUCGAGUCCUACGCGGCUCA